AAUCGAGGAGACAACAGGGAUUGCCUUAGUAACGGCGAGUGAAGCGGCAACAGCUCAAAUUUGAAAUCUGGCUCUUUUAGAGUCCGAGUUGUAAUUUGCAGAGGGCGCUUUGGCGUUGGCAGCGGUCCAAGUUCCUUGGAACAGGACGUCACAGAGGGUGAGAAUCCCGUACGUGGUCGCUAGCCAUCACCGUGUAAAGCCCCUUCGACGAGUCGAGUUGUUUGGGAAUGCAGCUCUAAAUGGGAGGUAAAUUUCUUCUAAAGCUAAAUACUGGCCAGAGACCGAUAGCGCACAAGUAGAGUGAUCGAAAGAUGAAAAGCACUUUGGAAAGAGAGUCAAAUAGCACGUGAAAUUGUUGAAAGGGAAGCGCUUGCAGCCAGACUUGCCUGUAGUUGCUCAUCCGGGCUUUUGCCCGGUGCACUCUUCUGCGGGCAGGCCAGCAUCAGUUUGGGCGGUUGGAUAAAGGUCUCUGUCAUGUACCUCUCUUCGGGGAGAACUUAUAGGGGAGACGACAUACAACCAGCCUGGACUGAGGUCCGCGCAUUUGCUAGGAUGCUGGCGUAAUGGCUGUAAGCGGCCCGUCUUGAAACACGGACCAAGGAGUCUAACAUCUAUGCGAGUGUUUGGGUGUCAAGCCCGAGCGCGUAAUGAAAGUGAACGGAGGUGGGACCCCUUUUAGGGUGCACCAUCGACCGAUCCUGAUGUCUUCGGAUGGAUUUGAGUAAGAGCAUGGCUGUUGGGACCCGAAAGAUGGUGAACUAUGCUUGAAUAGGGUGAAGCCAGAGGAAACUCUGGUGGAGGCUCGCAGCGGUUCUGACGUGCAAAUCGAUCGUC
rnacentral:rRNA from 1 species